rnacentral:lncRNA from 1 species
GGGACAUAGGUUUGCAAAGCAUUCCCAGGUGGGAAGUGUGUGAGCUGUUUCAGACAUUCUCAGAAUCCUCGGCCGACUCUACUAAAUUGUAGUAUGUGGACUACAUAAAUAGCAUAGCAACACUAUUCAUUCAGUUACAAUAAACCAUGAAAAUAUCACGCUGGUCCCACCAUGAAAGCCAGUAAUGAUAAUGGCACCUAUAACGUAUUAAGAAGGUACUGCUCCAGGGACUGAGCUGAGCACUUUCCGUGUAUUAUCUCAUUUAAGCUUUUGGAAGACUUGAUUGGGAGGACCACGGGGUGGUCCAGUGACCAAGCUAACAGUCCAGUGAGGUCUCCUCGCCUUGCAGAUAGGUAUCUGUGGAGAACGUUGAAGCCG